UCCAACCAGGAUUUAGUCGAUGUUGAAAAGAGGUAGCAAUUUUUCUCAAAAUGCUGCCAGCCAGGUGGACAUUUUGUGCAGAUGACUUCUUUGAGGUUCUGGAACUCGUCCUGCACCCUGCUCAAGACCUCCUGGAGUCUGUCAUGGUCCCUUCUCACCUCAGCCAGGUCCUUCGACAUACUGUGCGUUAGGUUCCUUAU